rnacentral:rRNA from 1 species
CGUGCCUAAUACAUGCAAGUCGAGCGGACCGACGGGAGCUUGCUCCCUUAGGUCAGCGGCGGACGGGUGAGUAACACGUGGGUAACCUGCCUGUAAGACUGGGAUAACUCYCGGGAAACCGGGGCUAAUACCGGAUGCUUGAUUGAACCGCAUGGUUCAAUCAUAAAAGGUGGCUUUCAGCUACCACUUACAGAUGGACCCGCGGCGCAUUAGCUAGUUGGUGAGGUAACGGCUCACCAAGGCGACGAUGCGUAGCCGACCUGAGAGGGUGAUCGGCCACACUGGGACUGAGACACGGCCCAGACUCCUACGGGAGGCAGCAGUAGGGAAUCUUCCGCAAUGGACGAAAGUCUGACGGAGCAACGCCGCGUGAGUGAUGAAGGUUUUCGGAUCGUAAAACUCUGUUGUUAGGGAAGAACAAGUACCGUUCGAAUAGGGCGGCACCUUGACGGUACCUAACCGGAAAGCCACGGCUAACUACGUGCCAGCAGCCGCGGUAAUACGUAGGUGGCAAGCGUUGUCCGGAAUUAUUGGGCGUAAAGCGCGCGCAGGCGGUUUCUUAAGUCUGAUGUGAAAGCCCCCGGCUCAACCGGGGAGGGUCAUUGGAAACUGGGGAACUUGAGUGCAGAGGAGGAGAGUGGAAUUCCACGUGUAGCGGUGAAAUGCGUAGAGAUGUGGAGGAACACCAGUGGCGAAGGCGACUC